rnacentral:lncRNA from 1 species
AUUUGCAGUGAAUGUUAUUGAUUCAAUCAAAAAGUACCAGAGAGACGCUUUCCCAUUUCUCAAGCAAGCUUAGCCAGGAGGUACUGUCUCUGAAUUGGUCCCCCAGAUAGGCAGAUAGUGAAAAAAAAACAGGCAUUGAACAUACUAUGGCUAGAGUAAUGGAAAUGUAUGAGUAUGUCAUGGUCUCGUGAUGAAUGCUCUGUACAAAAG